rnacentral:sRNA from 1 species
UGCUUUGCGCAGUGGCAGUAUCGUAGCCAAUGAGGUUUAUCCGAGGCGCGAUUAUUGCUAAUUGAAAAAUAUCAUAAACUUGGUGGGGUAAGACAAUAAAUAUUAAGUAUCUUGGUUAUGGAGGACAGAAAUUCUAAAUUAAUAUCACUGGGAGAAAAUCAAUGUG